rfam:Phytophthora infestans T30-4 supercont1.10 genomic scaffold, whole genome shotgun sequence.
AAAAAGGGCAGGCCUUGCCUAAGGCACAGUACGGGCGGCACAUGCCUCCUUUGUGGUGAAUCGCGAUCAAGAGAUUUGCCCUGCAUAAUUUCUGAGCGGCCGCGUUGGAAUGGGUCUGUGAGGCUAAUUCCACCGG